rnacentral:rRNA from 1 species
UAACUUUUAUUUUUGAAUUUUUUGGUAUUGCAUACCGUUUUUGGAUUUUCACAUUAGGAUGUUUAAUAGAUGAGAAGGGUAGAUAGCCUUGUAUUUUUGUUGUUGCACAACAAAUUUCAUUGGUUUUUGUUUUGAUAUGUCGACCUUCUUUUUAUCUGUUUAUUUUGUGUUGUUAGAAAAUUAUAUUUUUUUUUGAUAGUUAUAGGAAGUUAAAAUUUUGAAGUGUUUGUGUUUCAAGUUUUAUAACUUUUUCUGUUUUUUGCGUGAUUUUGUUUUUUUUUUAUUAAUUUUUUAAUAAAUUUAGUGUUUUGGAUUUAGUAAUAUUUUUUUGAAAAUUUAUUUUUUGUUUUAAUUUUUUUGUGUUAACUUGAAUUUUUAUCAAAUGUUUUUUAAAGACUUAGGUGUUAAUUUAAUGCUGGCCUCUGCCCUAUGUAUUUUAUAAAUGGCAGUCUUAGCGUGAGGACAUUAAGGUAGCAAAAUAAUUUGUGCUUUUAAUGAGUUCCAGUAUGAAUGGGGUUAUUGGUUGAUUAUUUACUAAUUAUUUUUAUGAAUUAUUAUUUUAUUUAAGAAAUAAUAAGUGUAUUUAAACAAAGAUAAGUCUUCGGAAAUUUUUUUACCUAGUGAUUUUUUAAUCUUUAGGUAUUUUUUCUAGGGUAGAAUUUUAUAUAAUUUUUAUUACUAUUUUUAAUAGAAAAAAUUACUCCGGAGUUAACAGAAAAACAUACUUUAAUCAGUUUCUUAUGAUAUGAGUGAGUUUUACAUCGAUGUUGUAUCCCAAUUGUUUUAGAGAGGAGGAGGCUUUAUUUUUUAGACUGUUCUUCUGGUAAUAAAUUGGACGUGAUAUUAGUUUAAUUCAUCGUGAGAUAGAAUUGUUUAUCUUGUUAAUUAUUUUUUUGUGAUAGUGUAGAGUACGAAAGGAAAUUUAUUGAAGUUUUAAACUUUGUAAAGGCUUUUGAGUCUUUU